UACAGAGGGUGCGAGCGUUAAUCGGAAUUACUGGGCGUAAAACGCACGUAGGCGGCUUGGUAUGUCGGGUGUGAAAUCCCCGGGCUCAACCUGGGAACUGCAUCCGAAACUGCCUUGCUCGAGUAUGGGAGAGGGAAGUGGAAUUUCCGGUGUAGCGGUGAAAUGCGUAGAUAUCGGAAGGAACAUCAGUGGCGAAGGCGACUUCCUGGACCAAUACUGACGCUCAGGUGCGAAAGCGUGGGGAGCAAACAGG
rnacentral:rRNA from 1 species